UACGUAGGGUGCGAGCGUUGUCCGGAAUUAUUGGGCGUAAAGAGCUCGUAGGCGGUCUGUCGCGUCGAAUGUGGAAAACCCGGGGCUCAACUCCGGGCUUGCAUUCGAUACGGGCAGGCUAGAGUUCGGUAGGGGAGUCUGGAAUUCCUGGUGUAGCGGUGAAAUGCGCAGAUAUCAGGAGGAACACCGGUGGCGAAGGCGGGACUCUGGGCCGAUACUGACGCUGAGGAGCGAAAGCGUGGGGAGCGAACAGG
rnacentral:rRNA from 1 species